GCCGCGGUGGCGGAACAGGCAGACGCACAGGACUUAAAAUCCUGGGAUCAGAAAUGGUCGUGCGGGUUCGACUCCCGCCCGCGGCA
rnacentral:tRNA from 1 species